GGUGAUUACCUAAUCCGAGUACUUUGCUACUCAGAACAUCUAAUCUAAUUUACAUAUCAUAUAUGCAAAAAAUUUAGAUCAAAUCUAAAUUAUAUUAGAUCUGAUUUUAUGUUUGAUCAUAUCUAAAAUUAGAUCAUAAUACAUCUCAUAUAUUGCUAAAUCUAGAUUUUAACUUUACAUGCAUAUAUGUUUAUGUCAUAAUGAACCUUCGCUCUGAUAUCAUUUAAAGGGAAGCAUGGUAGGUGAUGUGCAUGUAAUUUUAAAAUUUUAUAAUGAAACAUACAUAGAUUAAAUAAUUUAAUCUAUAAU
rnacentral:lncRNA from 1 species